rnacentral:rRNA from 1 species
GUACACGCUGUGACUAGCAUAUCAAUAAGCGGAGGAAAAGAAACUAACAAGGAUUCCCUCAGUAACGGCGAGUGAAGCGGGAAGAGCUCAAAUUUGAAAUCUUGAAAGGUCACCUUUCACGAACUGUAGUUUAAAGAAGUGUUUUCUGUUACGAUCGUAAUAUAAGUUCUUUGGAAUAGGACAUCACAGAGGGUGAGAAUCCCGUCUAUGAUUGCGAUUUGUAGCUUUGUGAUACACUUUCGAAGAGUCGGGUUGUUUGGGAAUGCAGCCCAAAACGGGAGGUAAAUUUCUUCUAAGGCUAAAUAUUGGCGAGAGACCGAUAGCGAACAAGUACCGUGAGGGAAAGAUGAAAAGAACUUUGAAAAGAGAGUUAAAUAGUACGUGAAAUUGUCAAAAGGGAAGCGUUUAACACCAGUGUUGUUUUCUGAAAAUCAACCUCUGUUAGCUUUAUGCAUGUUUGUUUAGACCUAAUCAGCUAUCUUGCAUGUUCUAUUGUUUGCAGUGGUGCACUUUUCAGUUUACAGGUCAACAUCAGUUUUUUUUACCGUAAAAAAGUUAAAGAAAGGUAGCUCAUGGCUCCGGUCGUGAGUGUUAUAGUCUUUUUCCUAUGCGGUAGGAGAGACUGAGGUCUGCAGUGUAGGCUAUUUGGCUAGAUACUCAGGUGCUAUGUGAUACCAUUUCAUAAACAACUUGUUGAUUAUGUUUUGUCUAUUGCAUACUCGCUUGUACUAUCAUACCUACGCUUAGGAUGUUGAGUAGCGACAUACGCAC